CAAAUACUCCCUCCGUUUCGAAUUACUUGUCGCAGCUAUGGAUGUAUCUAGAUGUAUUUUAGUUCUAGAUACAUCCAUUUCUGCGACGAGUAAUUUGGAACGGAGGGAGUAACUA
rfam:Triticum aestivum genome assembly, contig: Triticum_aestivum_CS42_TGACv1_scaffold_374563_5AL